UACGGAGGGUGCAAACGUUGCUCGGAAUCAUUGGGCGUAAAGCGCACGUAGGCGGUACGGCAAGUCGGAUGUGAAGGCCCUCGGCUCAACCGAGGAAGUGCAUUCGAAACUGCUGAACUUGAAUAUGGAAGAGGGUCGCGGAAUUCCCGGUGUAGAGGUGAAAUUCGUAGAUAUCGGGAGGAACACCAGUGGCGAAGGCGGCGACCUGGGCCAAUAUUGACGCUGAGGUGCGAAAGCGUGGGGAGCAAACAGG
rnacentral:rRNA from 1 species